GUGGAAUAAUUUGGAAUUGGAAAAGAAUUUGGAACCAGCCCUGUGGUUUCAGUCUCUGUUCACAUGUCCUGUGUUUCCAGGUGCCCUUGGAUGUGCUGAACUAGGAUUUUCCAGGCCUGUAUCCAGGAGGGUGAUGGCUGAAAACUGGCAGGGACAGAUUUGGAAAAUUGGUCUGAGGCAAAAGCUGUGUUUGUGCAAGAAAGUUUUGAUCCAGAGAUGACCAUGUGAAGAGGCUGAGUGUGUCAGAAAGAUAAAACUGAGACCUGUUUGCCAACAGAUGGAUCAGGAUCCAAAUGAAUCACCAAAAAUACUGCUUCUGGGGAAGGUGCUGAUACUGCCAAGAAAUGCUUCAGCCAUGAAAUGGCACUUGUCCUUGCC